ACCGAGUUCGCGAGGCAAGACGCGGAGACUCGCCUGGCGCGAGCGAGCACGCAACGUCCUCUCGCAGGGGCGGCGCCGCGCACGUAAUAUAGGCGCCCCGCCCCCUGCCGAGGCGAGGCCCGCUAGGGCGACUGCGCGCGCAGGCCCCGCCCCGCCCCCACGGCGCGACCUCCGCGCUGGGCCGGGCCGAGCAAAUGGAGGCUCUGGAAGCGGCCUUUCGGUUUAACGGACCCGCCGCAGUGGCCGCCGGCCUUUCCGGCUCUUGGGUCGCCGCGCUCCAUCGGCGCUCUGUCUUCUGUAUCCUGGAGGACGCUCUCCUCCAUCCGCCUUCAGUCCUCACCUUGCAUUUCCCACUCGAGAACAGCCUCCUUUCUUCCAUCUUCGUUUAGGUUUUGGGGUUUUUUUUUUGUUUUGUUUUGUUUUUUGGGUCUGUCCCUCCGGCUCUAGGUUUAAAACCUUCAAGUUUCCACUGCUUCUCUGUAGAACACAUGUAGGCGAUUGUUAUGCAGAGGUUUUUUGUUGUUUAGUUUUUCCUCCACUUAAUUGCGGUUUAAAUUUUACUAGUCGUGCCUUGCCAGUCGGACUUAUUUUACGUUCCGCAAGGGCGAGGCCAGAGCCUUUCUUUUGUCUCUUCCCCAACCAGCGGUGCAAAGUCUGGGAAAGAGGCUUGUUGUGCUGCUCCGUGCGCCCGCCACAGCGCAUAAAGCCGGCCUUGUGCACUACUGACCCUUAAGAAAGCCUUAGAUUUGCAUGGAAGUUUCCCCUCUAUGUACUUACUGUAAAGACAGGCCUCUUGCAGGACAGUCUGUCCCUGCAGAUCUAGUCCACCAGUUUUGAGAUCCUGUAAUUACAGAUGAGUAGGACAACACCCAGCUAGAUUAUUCACUUUGAUCUUCUCCCUGUUUUUUCAGACACUAUAAACAUGUUUGUAUACCUGCUAAGUUGCCUACAAACUGGUAAUAACAAAAGGCUGGGUUUUAGUUAAAAAAAAAAAAAAAUUACCUGUAGUCCUAUCACUUGGCAGAAUGAGGCAGACAUAUCAAGAGUUAAAAGCCAGGGCUACUUAGUAAAUUCUAGGCUACCUUGGGCUACAUACCAGAUCCUAUCUCAAAAAAUAGGAAUAAAACUAAACUAUCUGUUUUUCUCUUAUUAAAUAUGUUGUGUUCUUGAAGCAUAUAGAAUUUUAUUUCUACACGGGGGCUUCCUGUGCAGACUGAACCCAAGCUAGGUUUGGUGGUACAUGUGUAUAAUUCCAACACUUGAGAGAUACAGGCAAGAUGAUCAAGAAUUCAGUAUCAGACAGGCCACUGGUGGUGGCACACAAGUUUGGCUCCAACACUCAGGAGGCACAGGCAGACCUCUUGAGUCCAAGGCCACUAGUUCCAGGACAGCCAGAGCUACACACACACACACAAAAAAACCCUGUCUUGAAGAAAACAAAACAAAAAACAAAACAAAAUCAAUAAAUCAGUAAAU
rnacentral:lncRNA from 1 species